rnacentral:rRNA from 1 species
AUGUGAAUUGCAGAAUUCAGUGAAUCAUCGAAUCUUUGAACGCACAUUGCGCCCUCUGGUAUUCCGGGGGGCAUGCCUGUUCGAGCGUCAUUACACCACUCAAGCUCAGCUUGGUAUUGGGCCAUCGCCCCCUGGGGCGGGCCUGAAAAUCAGUGGCAGUGCACGCCAGUGCUCAAGCGUAGGUAUGAAUUGUCAAACGCCGCUUUGGAGCUCACCGGCUGGGCCCGCCAGAUAACCCUUCUAUUUCAAUGGUUGACCUCGGAUCAGGUAGGGAUACCCGCUGAACUUAAGCAUAUCAAUAAGCGGAGGAAAAGAAACCAACAGGGAUUGCCUCAGUAACGGCGAGUGAAGCGGCAACAGCUCAAAUUUGAAAUCUGGCCUUCGGGCCCGAGUUGUAAUUUGCAGAGGGAGUUUCGGAGGCGACGCCGGCCUAAGUUCCUUGGAACAGGCCGUCAUAGAGGGUGAGAGUCCCGUCCGUGGCCGGCGGUCAAUUUCAUGUGAAACCCCUUCGACGAGUCGAGUUGUUUGGGAAUGCAGCUCAAAAUGGGUGGUAAAUCUCAUCUAAAGCUAACUACUGACCAAAGACCGAUAGCGCACAAGUAUAGUGAUCGAAAGAUGACUAGCACUUUGGGAAUGAAAGUUUUACCCUUUACUUUGAUAAAUGGUGAAUCGUGAAGACCCCAAGA